UCGCGGCUUAUCACCGGCAGUCCCCUUAGAGUGCCCAACUAAAUGAUGGCAACUAAGGGCGAGGGUUGCGCUCGUUGCGGGACUUAACCCAACAUCUCGCGACACGAGCUGACGACAGCCAUGCAGCAUCUGUGCCACACCCUCGAAGGCGACGCCCUUUCAGGCGCUUGCAGUGGCAUGUCCAAUCUGGGUAAGGUUCUGCGCGUUGCGUCGAAUUAAACCACACGCCCCGCUGCUUGUGCGGGCCCCCGUCAAUUCCUUUGAGUUUUAGCCUUGCGGCCGUACUCCCCAGGCGGGGCACUUAAUGCGUUAGCUUCGGCACGGAGGGAGUCGACACCCCCCACACCUAGUGCCCAUCGUUUACAGCGUGGACUAC
rnacentral:misc_RNA from 1 species